rnacentral:rRNA from 1 species
UAGGGAAUCUUCCGCAAUGGACGCAAGUCUGACGGAGCAACGCCGCGUGAGUGAAGAAGGAUUUCGGUUCGUAAAACUCUGUUGUUAGAGAAGAACAGCGCAUAGAGUAACUGUUAUGCGUGUGACGGUAUCUAACCAGAAAGCCACGGCUAACUACGUGCCAGCAGCCGCGGUAAUACGUAGGUGGCAAGCGUUGUCCGGAUUUAUUGGGCGUAAAGCGAGCGCAGGCGGUCAAUUAAGUCUGAUGUGAAAGCCCCCGGCUCAACCGGGGAGGGUCAUUGGAAACGGGUUGGCUUGAGUGCAGAAGAGGAGAGUGGAAUUCCAUGUGUAGGGGUGAAAUGCGUAGAUAUAUGGGGGAACACCAGUGGCGAAGGCGACUUUCUGGUCUGUAACUGACGCUGAGGCUCGAAAGCGUGGGUAGCAAACAGG